GAAAGAGCAGGGAACUGGGUGGGAUUAGGGUACUGGAAGAGUGAUAACCUCAAUUGAGGAAUUGCCACCGUCAGAUUGGCCUGUAGGUAAGUGUGUGUGUGGAGGAAGUUUUUGAUUAAUGAUUAGGGUAAGAGAGCCUGGCUCAUUGUGGGUGGGGCCAUCCCUGGGCAGGCAGUCCUGGAUUCUGUAAGAGAGCAGGCUGAGCAAGCCAGCAAGCAGUUCCCUUCCAUGGUUUUUGCUUUUGUUCCUGCCUCCAGGUUCCUGCUUGAGCUCCAGUCCUUGCUUUCUUUGAUGAUGGACUCUAAUCUGUAAGAUGGAACAAACCCUUUCCUCCCCCGAAUUGGUUUUGAGUAGUGUUGUCUCACAGCAACAGAGAAGCAAACUAAAACAGAAACCAGACUAAGAUGACAGAGCAGGACUUCUUACUCCUAUUACAGAGCCAAUGAAAGACCAGGUCCUGAUUGAAGCCUAGAGUCUAACUGUGUCGUUCUUCCUUCUCACCCAGAGGGAGUCCAGGGCACUGCAGUGCUCAGCCAAUGAACUAAGUAGUAUCAUCUUCAGACAGCUUCAGCUGCCAAGUGUUUCUGAGGCUCCCUGUUCCAAAGGAACAUCACUACCCAGCACACGCACGCACGCGCGCACACACACACACACACAC
rnacentral:lncRNA from 1 species